GCCACCGAAAGGCUGCAGCGUUACUCCGGCGGGCGGCAGAGGCAGAGCAGGUGAUCCCUCUGCCCUGCCCGCGUUGGGCCUCGCCCGGAGGCUGCGCCAGGCUCUGAGCCGGCACAAGCAGGACGUGCCCGCUGGGGCGGCACGAAGGUGCAGGAAGGCAGCGGCCACGAAGAUGCUCCGAGGGCCAGAGUACCUCUCCUCUGUAGGCAGGCUGGCAGGGAGCCGGCACUGUCCAGCCUGGAGAGGGACGGGCUCCCGGGAGGCCUCACUGUGUCCCCCCAGUGGCUGAAGGGGCUCUAUAGGAAAGGCAGAGAGCGAUUUCUUUACGUGGGCAGAGACUGAGAGGAGAAGGGGGAACGGUUUUAAAGCAGAAGCGGGAAGAUUAGGUUAGAUGUUAGGAAGAGCUGUGAGGAUGUCGAGACACUGGAACAGGCUGCCCAGAGAAGCUGCGGAUGUCCCGUCCCUGGAAGGCCCCAUUCCAGGCCAGGCUAGAUUGGGCCCCGAGUAUCCUGAUCUAGUGGAUGGUGUCACUGUCCAUGGCAGGGGAGUUAGAACCAGAUGAUCUUUAAGGCCCCUUCCAAGCCAAGGCAUUCUGAGUCUCCAUGAGCAGGCAAAGAGGUCACCGGUUACCGGAACAUGGAAUGGUACCAAACGGUUGCCAUGCAGAGGGGUCAGGAACCCAGCACUCCAUCGACAGCUGGCAGUUGGCAGAUUCUCUGCUGGGAAGCAGGUGCGGAGGAGCCUCUGUCUUCUCUGUCCCAGGUGGGAACAGAGGGCAAUUUGCUGGUACUUUUCAAGAAAAAUUCUCAACCAACAGUACAGGUUUGGAAGAAUAUCAUUCUCCGAACCCUAGAAAUCAGGACUUUGUAACAGCGUCCUAUCUAAGGAAUCUAAGGGAUUGAUUGCUGUAACUUCCCUGAAAUUCCCUUUUUAGUGUUUGUCCCACCAAACUUACUUUUCCAGUGGUUUUAGAGAACAAAACACCAUGAGCACAAAUCGGCAAAAGAGCCGUGGAGAAGCAGUUAAUUCCACACAAGCUUCGAAACAAAGCAGGAUGCCGCCUUCUAGUGAAGGUGGACCUUCAACAGCAGAGCCAAUAGACCUCGAAGAAAAUGGUGUGCUUUCUUUAGAUCUUGUUAUUGAUGAAAUCACAGAUCUCACCAGCGAAUCUCCUGAGCCUGAAGUCAUUGAUCUAACUGGUGAGGA